rnacentral:rRNA from 1 species
GUGUCAGCAGCCGCGGUAAUACGGAGGGUGCGAGCGUUGUCCGGAAUCACUGGGCGUAAAGGGCGCGUAGGCGGUCUGCUAAGCGUGCGGUGAAAGCCUGGGGCUCAACCCCAGGUCUGCCGUGCGAACUGGUGGACUCGAGCACUGUAGAGGCAGGUGGAAUUCCGGGUGUAGCGGUGGAAUGCGUAGAGAUCCGGAAGAACACCGGUGGCGAAGGCGGCCUGCUGGGCAGUUGCUGACGCUGAUGCGCGACAGCGUGGGGAGCAAACAGGAUUAGAUACCCUGGUAGUCCACGCCGUAAACGAUGGGCACUAGGUGCUUGGGGGAGCGACCCCCCGAGUGCCGGCGCUAACGCAUUAAGUGCCCCGCCUGGGGAGUACGACCGCAAGGUUGAA